rnacentral:rRNA from 1 species
GACGAACGCUGGCGGCGUGCUUAACACAUGCAAGUCGAACGGAAAGGCCCUGCUUUUGUGGGGUGCUCGAGUGGCGAACGGGUGAGUAACACGUGAGUAACCUGCCCUUGACUAUGGGAUAACUUCAGGAAACUGGGGCUAAUACCGGAUAGGAGCUCCUGCUGCAUGGUGGGGGUUGGAAAGUUUCGGCGGUUGGGGAUGGACUCGCGGCUUAUCAGCUUGUUGGUGGGGUAGUGGCUUACCAAGGCUUUGACGGGUAGCCGGCCUGAGAGGGUGACCGGCCACAUUGGGACUGAGAUACGGCCCAGACUCCUACGGGAGGCAGCAGUGGGGAAUAUUGCACAAUGGGCGGAAGCGUGAUGCAGCAACGCCGCGUGCGGGAUGACGGCCUUCGGGUUGUAAACCGCUUUCGCCUGUGACGAAGCGUGAGUGACGGUAAUGGGUAAAGAAGCACCGGCUAACUACGUG